rnacentral:rRNA from 1 species
GAUGAACGCUGGCGGCGUACCUAAUACAUGCAAGUCGAGCGAACAGACGAGGAGCUUGCUCCUCUGACGUUAGCGGCGGACGGGUGAGUAACACGUGGAUAACCUACCUAUAAGACUGGGAUAACUUCGGGAAACCGGAGCUAAUACCGGAUAAUAUAUUGAACCGCAUGGUUCAAUAGUGAAAGACGGUUUUGCUGUCACUUAUAGAUGGAUCCGCGCCGCAUUAGCUAGUUGGUAAGGUAACGGCUUACCAAGGCGACGAUGCGUAGCCGACCUGAGAGGGUGAUCGGCCACACUGGAACUGAGACACGGUCCAGACUCCUACGGGAGGCAGCAGUAGGGAAUCUUCCGCAAAGGGCGAAAGCCUGACGGAGCAACGCCGCGUGAGUGAUGAAGGUCUUCGGAUCGUAAAACUCUGUUAUUAGGGAAGAACAAAUGUGUAAGUAACUAUGCACGUCUUGACGGUACCUAAUCAGAAAGCCACGGCUAACUACGUG